GGCGGCGCCGGGGGCUUGCAGGGCGGGGCGGGGCGCUGUGUCCCCGCGGAGGGUCCUGCGGGGCUGGCGGUCCCCGGGGCUGCCCUGCGCGCUGCCAGGCCACAGCAGGUGCGCUCCGCGGCAUUCCCUAGGUGGAGAAGGCAGGCAGGCUGAGGUGAGCUGCUUGCACCACCACGCCAUUUGGGAUGCAUUUAGGGGUAUGCAGAGGUUUCUCCUCCGGACCUAGAGUUUUGUCCUUGAUCAGACGCGAGAGAGCUAUUUUAGUGGCAGACGACCACUUCAGAAAGCUUAUCUCAUGGAGAAACUUCCUUUCAUUCUCUUCCCACACGGAAAUGGCCAUUAUUUAACAGAUAAGACAAGCAGAGCAAGAGUAUUCUAUUCCAGUGGUUUUCUGAUUGGAUCCAGAUGGAAAUGCUCAGGUGAAACAGUCACUCAAUGGACAGGAUCUUUCAGGUUGCUGAGCAUCUACUUUGUGUGGAGAAACAAAGACAGGCAUUCACAUGAAGACAGUUGGAGGCUUCCUGGAGGAAUGAGACAGUCUGCCCACUUCAAGUAUCUGUCAUGGGCUACAGGUUCAGAUAUCAGUAUUGUAAUUGUUUCGUAUGACAAAUCGUUUGGCAUAUAAAUCUUGGAGGGUAAGUUUUUGUGAGCUAGAGCAUGGGCAUGGCUACAGUCCAGUUUUAAGCAUGCAGAAAUGGACGAAGGCUGGGAAUAGUGAAACAGUGAGAAGGAAGAAAUCUAUAUCCUUCAGUGACCAUCUGGGGCAGAGCCACUCUACAAACAAGGACUCCUCAUCUUUGUAAGAGUAAGAAAAACAUCUGCUCUCUUAAAGCCACUACUUUAUGGUCUUUUUUGUUAAAAUGGCUUAGCCUUUACCCUAUUUAUCCCGACUUAAAAGAAGAUCCUUUUGUCUAAACAUUAUUGAGAUUCACCUGCAAGAAGUCGAGUGGGAUUAAACACAGGAGGAAGCUAUGAAUAGAUUCAAUUUCUGCC